rnacentral:rRNA from 1 species
GCACUAAUCCACCCAGGGGAACCUGGCCCUUAAUUCGAUGGUCCACGAAUCUCUUACCUUCUCUAGUUUUAUUUCGCCUUAGUUGGCAAAUAAAGACCAGCUUGCAUACCGCCGUUGUUCAGCCUAUACCGACAGGGGAUAAAAAUAGGCGACGCAGCACUAAACCCUCUGGGCGUGCUACCAAUUCAGGUAAACGUGUAGCCUAUGGGAAGGGGCUGCUGGGUUACACUGAUAGCUUUCCAUGGAGCCCCAUGUAAAAACAUGGGGCGAAAAAGGACUUGGAAGUAAUGACUUUGGCUAAUGAAGUGUUGAAUGCUCUGAUAGUGUGUGU